rnacentral:rRNA from 1 species
GUGGGGAAUCUUGCGCAAUGGGCGAAAGCCUGACGCAGCCAUGCCGCGUGAAUGAUGAAGGUCUUAGGAUUGUAAAAUUCUUUCACCGGGGACGAUAAUGACGGUACCCGGAGAAGAAGCCCCGGCUAACUUCGUGCCAGCAGCCGCGGUAAUACGAAGGGGGCUAGCGUUGCGCGGAAUUACUGGGCGGAAAGGGCGCGUAGGCGGACAGUUUAGUCAGAGGUGAAAGCCCAGGGCUCAACCUUGGAAUUGCCUUUGAUACUGGCUGUCUUGAGUACGGGAGAGGUGAGUGGAACUCCGAGUGUAGAGGUGAAAUUCGUAGAUAUUCGGAAGGACACCAGUGGCGAAGGCGACUCACUGGCCCGUUACUGACGCUGAGGCGCGAAAGCGUGGGGAGCAAACAGGAUUAGAAACCCGUGUAGUCC